rnacentral:lncRNA from 1 species
UGAGCGGCCAGAUGGGUGUCCUCAACUGCAUUUUACAGAAGACACAGCUGAAACCCAAUCACCUGCCCAAGGUCAAACUCUGAGAAGGUGGUGAGUCCCCGAAUCCUCGUGGGAUGUGCUGCCACCAGCAUGAGCUGCUUUAUGAAAUCGACGCACCGACACUCAGAUUCUGAGGUUCCAACUCAAAUGAGAUGGGCUCACAAAGCACAAGAUGGCCUCCCAUAUGAGAUCAGAUGUCGCCCUCAUUGAGGGAAAGGAAUGUGCUUACAACGCAGCAGACCCUCAAUGUCGUUGAACGUGUGAAUACUGCUGGAUUUUUCCGACACUGGCUUAUCUUGGAGUCAGAUCCCUCCUGAGGAAGGUUCAUGCUUCUGGGACUCAGGCCAGUUUGGGGUUCCUCUACUUCUCCAUCACCUGUGUUCUCCUCUGUAUGUGGCAUUACCCUGGUAAUUAAAGGCUGCAUGCACACAGGAAGCCAAGAAAAACUGAAGAACUGGAUGGAAAAGACAGAAUCCAUUGACCAGAGAUAG